UUUCCCUUAAUUGUUAUUUCUUU
rnacentral:snRNA from 1 species